CAAGAGCGUAUGUAAAAGUUGUUGCAGUUAAAAAGCUCGUAGUUGAACCUUGGGUUUGGUUGGCCGGUCCGCUUUUUUGCGAGUACUGGAUUUAACCGAGCCUUUCCUUCUGGCUAACCAGUCGUUUCGGCGGCUGGCGAACCAGGAUUUUUACUUUGAGAAAAUUAGAGUGUUCAAAGCAGGCAUUAGCUUGAAUAUAUUAGCAUGGAAUAAUAGAAUAGGACGUUAUGGUUCUAUUUUGUUGGUUUCUAGGACCAUCGUAAUGAUUAAUAGGGACGGUCGGGGGCAUCAGUAUUCAGUUGUCAGAGGUGAAAUUCUUGGAUUUACUGAAGACUAACUACUGCGAAAGCAUUUGCCAAGGACGUUUUCAUUAA
rnacentral:rRNA from 1 species